UUUUCUAUUCUUUGCUUCUGUAGAAAAGUCAUUAUUUUAGGAAAAACAAUUUUGUAAAUAAAACAACAGAGAUCCACGGAAGUUAUAUGAAAUUGUAAUAUCUCAAAUUUAGUUCUCAUAUCCCAAUCGUGUGAUACGCUAGGGCUCCAAUCAAUGGGCAAGAACAAGAGGGAAAUGGGAACCCACAUACCAUUCGUCAAGCCGUGCUAUAGCGGCAUCCCACAUACAAAAUAGAGAAAGAUUGGCCCUGAGUUAGCAUCUGUUGCCAAUCUUCCUCCUUUUGCUUGAGGAAGAUUGUCACUGAGCUAACAUCUGUGCCAACCUUCCUCACCAGAAAAAACAAAAGAUGGAGGAGAUGGGUUACAUCGUUUUUAAGAAAAAGGCAGCUUAUCCAUGGCUGAACUUUUAAGACCACCUUUGACAUUAUUUGAGUGCUUCGUAUUAAGCAACAGAACUUAAGCAAUUUUAUUUUAGUAUCAUGAUCAUAAAAAUCUACAGACUUUUUUUUUUUUUUUAACAAAGUGGCUCAAAGAGACGUUGGGGAAGGAAGCAAGAUAUUCACGACUGAGAAGUGUUCUCAGGGGACCUAGGUCAUUUGGUCCCCAGGACACAGCGCUGGGAGAUGCCUGCAAGGGGAAAGCUCUAGAGGAAUUUGCAGCUGCCGCUCCCUCCCCUCCUGAGGGAUGCAGGGCAGACUGCAGGACUGGAGCCAGUGUCAGCGACCAAACCUGCCUGACAGCCACUCCUGAGACGGCCCAGCCCAGCUCCUGCCGUCACGGCUGGCUGGUCCACGGGGGCUGACGGCCACGGUCAGGACCAGGGCGGACACAGGGUCAGAGCUGCUGACACACGGCCGCUCACGCUUCUGGGGCUCCAGAAAUGAAAUACAUCUUUGGAAAGACAUAUGACAAAAGGUUUUCCCUUCAACUGCUCAGCAUGUGGUACCGAAUUUUGGAGGGUUAAAACAAAAAACAACCAUUGCUUAUCCUCUCAGGCCUUAUCAAGGGUUUUAUCACAUUUUUAUAAAACAUAGCCUCAGCCCCAAAGCUUUGUUUGCAUGAGGGUGUGUCCAGUCCAUGGGUGGAAAGUUUCCAUAAUUCUUUCCAGUCUGUUCCAUGUUCCUCCCUCCUUUGUUCGUUAGUUCAGGGUCUCUGUCCAUUGUGAUCCUAAUGUGCUCUAAUGCCAAGGAUCGACUUUAUUUGAGAUUUUAAACCUUCAAGGAUCAAAAUGGUGGGGGAAAAAAAUCAGAAUUCUUUUGGGGUAGAACCAAAUAUUUGCCAAAUGUGCUUAUGAAAUGCAAAUGAGAUUCUUUCCUCACUCAGUCAAUCAAUCAGUUAUAUUUGUUAAAUGGUUAUUCAGCCAAUACUAUUUCAAAGACACCAUAUUCCUCUUUUUUUAAUCCUUCGAUUCAGCAAGUUAACCACAAUGACCAAUUUUGUGGCUAAAAUGGUAACAUUGUUUGUGUACUUAAGUCUCUUUCCCACUCGUGGCGUCUCCCGCCUCCUGGGUCCGAGGCAGGUGUCGACAGCUGUUAUUCUGUGACGGGGUUUUUAGACACAUCAGCACUGUUGGGUGAACAAAUGUCUUCAUCAGGAAGUCACGAAUUGGCUUGAGAUAAGGAAACGUCGAUUUGAAAACCAUUUUCCCCCGGUCUCAUUUGCACUGUCUCUUCCUUUAGCUGCUUUCUGUUGGGAAUUCUGUCCUUUAUGUCACUGCAAAGCUUGUCCACCUGGCACCCAUCACACCUACACACUCCUUUCUUGCACAGAGCAACCAUCUUACCAUUUUCUAAAAGAAGCUCAUAGAUUCAUGUAGUAAGAGACUAAAGUCAGCAUCUGCUCUCCAUUCGACAACAGACUUCAGAACACAAAGGCCACGCGUGCCGCCUGCAGGGAGCAGAUCAGGAGGCCCCGCUCUUCUGGGACAGGCAAUUCUGAAACCAUGGGGUCACUCCCCAGCUCCAAGAUGAGCAGCGCUCCAGCAGCCUGGAGAGCAAAUUCCGCGGCUUUCUUUUCAGCACAAUGCAAAAGCGUAUCACACUGCUGGCAGCCUGCGGCCCACUUUGUAACUUAAAAGCAAAUUCUAAUUCUUUGAAGACUAAACAUUAAAAAAACCCCUCAAACCUAAACAAAUUUUAGUCUCUCUGGAAAAGCAAUUGAUAAAUACGCUCAAACUGUGAAUAUAUUUUCAUUCUAUUAAGCAUUUAUUCGUUAAAAAAUAAUAUACAUUCUGGAAACAGCUCUCCUCUGAUGAUCUCCCCGGGGCCAGAACACACACAUAUAUUGUGAGGAAUCAAGGCCUUGUAGGUGAGGGACAUCAUUUUGUCAGAUGGAUGCUUCAGGAAAGAAGAUCAUGCCAGGAGAGGCAUCUAUUUCUUUGUUAAUUGCAUCCUCCACACUAUAGUAACCUACUGCGAAUUUUAUUUGUGAUGUGCCGGCUUGCCUCGGAUGAGCUGCGUUUCCCGGAAUUCCUGUUCCCGCGUAUUUCUGGUUAAGGUGGGCUGUCAGAGACAUUCUUGUGGGAGACGUGGAGGGUGGAAGUGAAGCAGCAGCCAUAUUCUAGCCCGCCCGUGCCGUUGCCUGUCUGCUGGCUCACCCCAGUGAUGCGACACAGUGGCUGGACUUGCAGCUGCUCCAUCUUCCCCUGGGUGCUCCUUCUGCCUCUCUGAUCCCUGCCCCUGGUGAACAGAAAGACUUAAUUGCUCCCGACAUGGUGCUAAGACAUUUGCAUUCCGGAGGGUGGGAAAUAAAUCCCAUAAAACAUCAGGGGCCUGCAACCUCAGUGAAAUGUCUAGGGGUCCAGUCUGAGGCAGGUUGAGUAAAUGGGUCCUUUCUGAGCCGUUUAAUGAAUAACCCCAAAAGCUACCAAUUAUGAGUGGGGCCCAGAACAAGAGAAAGCUCUAUGAGAAACCCAAGUUGCUAUGCAAGCAGCUCUGCUGCUUGGACCAUAUGACCCAAUGGAUCCGAUGGUGCUUGAGGGGCAGGCGCAGGCAGGGUGCUGUUUGGAGCGUUUUCAGGCCCUUAAAUGAGUUUCACAAUGAGGAUCCUUAGGAUUUUGGAAUAAAGCCCUACCAUCUUCUUUUAAGAAAUAGCUUUUGUUUUGCUACUGGGUUUUAGUGAAAAUUGAAUGCGUGGUCAUGGGUCACCAAGUUACCCUGUGACCCAAGCUACCUGUUACUAGGUGUUGUCUGAUCCACUGAGCCAUAAAGUUGAGCACGCACAGAAGUACUUCGUUCGCAAGUGGGAGUGGUAUGCCUGAACUUGGCUUCGGGCAGAACCUGAAGACACAAGUAUGUUGCAUGAGUAAGUGACCCGCACAUCCACAGCCCCUGCUUCUGAUCCUUUGUCUUCUCUCUCUUAACCUGCGCCCGUGGCCUCUUGAGGAGCUGUCUGUGCCCGGGUGAUGGAAGAAGAAAAAAGUCAGGCCUCGUCUGCAGGUGGUUCUGCACAAUAGGCUGAUGUCACUCAGAAGCAGACAGCUAAAACCAAAAUGGACCGCUGAAAUACCACAGCCCACUCUGGGCUGGCCCUGAAGGACAGUGCUGAGGGAAACGCUGCCAGCGCACAGAACUUUGAGCAGUGCACCUGGCUGUCCAGUUUGCUUAAGAGAGAUGUCCAGAAGUACAGGUCUAUACUAAUUCACCGACUGUGGCUAAUAUUUGCCUGGAAGGUGAGAGAUUUGGAAGAAACAUGAUGAAAAAUUGAUGGCAAAGUUCUGGAGGAGAAGUAGGUUGACAGAUCUCUCCAAACAGGCAGGACGUGUGAAGAUAUUUAUGUUCUCUGAGAAUGCUCACCAAAGAAACUCAAUAGAAGAGUAUUUUAAUAAUCAGCUGCAUAGGAUGAGCCAUUUUGUGGGCAUCAGUCAACCUUUUUCCCCAGAAACCCUGCCAUUGGCAAAUUGGCCCAUGAAUAAAGUGGCCACGGUGACAGAGACGGACGUUAUGCAUGGGCUCAGCAACACAGGCUUCUACUUACCAAAGCCCAGCUGGCUAUGGCUGCUGUGGAGUGCCCAACCUGCUAACAGCAGAGGUCAACACUGAGCCCCUGACAUGGCGCCAUUCCAGCUGGCUGCCUAUUGGCAGUUGAUUCUAUGGGAUCAGCUCUGUUCCCUUAGGGAAGGGGCAGCGCUUUGUUUUUACUGGAAGAGACACUACUCUGGAUACAGAUUUGCCUUCCCUGCACACUGUGCUUCUGCCAAAACCACCACCAAAACCAUGUACAAAAUGACUUAUUCACUAUCUUGGUGUGUCACACAGCACCACUGCUGACCAAGGAACUUAUUUCACAGCAGAUGAGGGACAGCAACUGGCUCAUGGAGUUCACUGGUCUUACCAUGUUCCCCAUCACCCUGAAGCAGCUGGCUUGAGAGAAUGCUGGAAUGGCCUUUUGAAGGCUCGGUUGUGGUCAGUUGUCCAGGAUAAAAAGUGUGCUCUAAAUCAUCAUUCAAUGUACAUUUCCGCUUCUCCCAUAGCCAGGAUUUGUGAGUCUGGGAACAAAGGGUGGUUAUGGGAAAAGCUCCUCUCACUAUUAUUCCUAGUGAUGUACUAAACAUUUGCUGCCCAUCCCUAUGGUAUUAGGUUCUACUGGUCUAGAGGUCUUCGUUCCAAACAGAGGAAUGCUUCCACCAGGGAACCCAGCAAUGAUUCUAUUGAACUGGAGGGUCCCUGGGCACUUUGACUCAUGCCGCUGAAUCAACAGGCAAAGAAGUGAGUGAUUGAACCUGGACUGCUUCUACACAAAGAGCCUGUCCUUGGACUUCAAGCUCCAGCUUCAGAUGUGAAGACAACAACUUUACAGACAUGACUUAACCACACCCCACAAUUAUGUAAGGUCAAAUUCCUAUAAGUAUAUGAUAUGUAUGUAUAUAUAUACACAUUCCAGUGUUUCCACUUCUGUCAUUGAACUCUGACUAAGACAGUAUUCUGGUUGAAUGUUACAUUGAAAAGUUUACAUUCUCAAAAAAACCUUCAGUUUUAUUGAGAUAUAAUUGAUGUACAAUAAAUUGCAUGUAUUUA